GACGGAAGGUGCAAGCGUUGCUCGGAAUCACUGGGCGUAAAGAGUUCGUAGGCGGUUCGUUAAGUUCGAUGUUAAAGACCGGGGCCCAACCCCGGGACUGCAUUGAAUACUGGCGGACUCGAGUGCAGUAGAGGCAAGAGGAAUUCCCAGUGUAGCGGUGAAAUGCGUAGAUAUCGAGAGGAACACCUGCGGCGAAGGCGGGUUGCUGGGCCGACACUGACGCUGAUGCGCGAAAGCCAGGGGAGCGAACGGG
rnacentral:rRNA from 1 species